rnacentral:rRNA from 1 species
UACGAAGGGGGCUAGCGUUGCUCGGCAUCACUGGGCGUAAAGCGCACGUAGGCGGAUCUUUAAGUCAGGGGUGAAAUCCUGGAGCUCAACUCCAGAACUGCCUUUGAUACUGAAGAUCUUGAGUUCGGGAGAGGUGAGUGGAACUGCGAGUGUAGAGGUGAAAUUCGUAGAUAUUCGCAAGAACACCAGUGGCGAAGGCGGCUCACUGGCCCGAUACUGACGCUGAGGCACGAAAGCGUGGGGAGCGAACAGG